rnacentral:rRNA from 1 species
CAAAGGAGCAAUCCGCUGAAAGAUGGGCUCGCGUCCGAUUAGAUAGUUGGGGGGGUAACGGCCCACCAAGUCGACGAUCGGUAGCCGGACUGAGAGGUUGAACGGCCACAUUGGGACUGAGACACGGCCCAGACUCCUACGGGAGGCAGCAGUGAGGGAUAUUGGUCAAUGGGGGAAACCCUGAACCAGCAACGCCGCGUGAGGGAAGACGGUUUUCGGAUUGUAAACCUCUGUCCUCUGUGAAGAUAAUGACGGUAGCAGAGGAGGAAGCUCCGGCUAACUACGUGCCAGCAGCCGCGGUAAUACGUAGGGAGCGAGCGUUGUCCGGAUUUACUGGGUGUAAAGGGUGCGUAGGCGGGUAAGCAAGUCAGAAGUGAAAUCCAUGGGCUUAACCCAUGAACUGCUUUUGAAACUGUUUAUCUUGAGUGAAGUAGAGGUAGGCGGAAUUCCCGGUGUAGCGGUGAAAUGCGUAGAGAUCGGGAGGAACACCAGUGGCGAAGGCGGCCUACUGGGCUUUAACUGACGCUGAAGCACGAAAGCGUGGGCAGCAAACAGGAUUAGAUACCCUGGUAGUCCAUGCCGUAAACGAUGAUUACUAGGUGUGGGGGGACUGACCCCCUCC